rnacentral:misc_RNA from 1 species
AAAAAGGUAACGCUUUCAGCGUUUACUCCUCUCCUCUCCUGCCGCAAGGCGGGGGAGUGCUUGAGUCCUUUCAACCCAUUGUGAACUUUAUACCUUUUGCUUCGGCAGCACGCCCCUUUCAAACCGGGGUUGGUAAGGCUGCCGAUAGCCCAUUAUAAACUAUUUUAUUUUAAAUCAUGAAGUCUGAUUACUGUUAAAUUUAAACAAGUUA